GGUUAAGCGACUAAGCGUACACGGUGGAUGCCCUGGCAGUCAGAGGCGAUGAAGGACGUGCUAAUCUGCGAUAAGCGUCGGUAAGGUGAUAUGAACCGUUAUAACCGGCGAUUUCCGAAUGGGGAAACCCAGUGUGUUUCGACACACUAUCAUUAACUGAAUCCAUAGGUUAAUGAGGCGAACCGGGGGAACUGAAACAUCUAAGUACCCCGAGGAAAAGAAAUCAACCGAGAUUCCCCCAGUAGCGGCGAGCGAACGGGGAGCAGCCCAGAGCCUGAAUCAGUAUGUGUGUUAGUGGAAGCGUCUGGAAAGGCGCGCGAUACAGGGUGACAGCCCCGUACACAAAAAUGCACAUAUUGUGAGCUCGAUGAGUAGGGCGGGACACGUGGUAUCCUGUCUGAAUAUGGGGGGACCAUCCUCCAAGGCUAAAUACUCCUGACUGACCGAUAGUGAACCAGUACCGUGAGGGAAAGGCGAAAAGAACCCCGGCGAGGGGAGUGAAAAAGAACCUGAAACCGUGUACGUACAAGCAGUGGGAGCACGCUUAGGCGUGUGACUGCGUACCUUUUGUAUAAUGGGUCAGCGACUUAUAUUCUGUAGCAAGGUUAACCGAAUAGGGGAGCCGAAGGGAAACCGAGUCUUAACUGGGCGUUAAGUUGCAGGGUAUAGACCCGAAACCCGGUGAUCUAGCCAUGGGCAGGUUGAAGGUUGGGUAACACUAACUGGAGGACCGAACCGACUAAUGUUGAAAAAUUAGCGGAUGACUUGUGGCUGGGGGUGAAAGGCCAAUCAAACCGGGAGAUAGCUGGUUCUCCCCGAAAGCUAUUUAGGUAGCGCCUCGUGAAUUCAUCUCCGGGGGUAGAGCACUGUUUCGGCAAGGGGGUCAUCCCGACUUACCAACCCGAUGCAAACUGCGAAUACCGGAGAAUGUUAUCACGGGAGACACACGGCGGGUGCUAACGUCCGUCGUGAAGAGGGAAACAACCCAGACCGCCAGCUAAGGUCCCAAAGUCAUGGUUAAGUGGGAAACGAUGUGGGAAGGCCCAGACAGCCAGGAUGUUGGCUUAGAAGCAGCCAUCAUUUAAAGAAAGCGUAAUAGCUCACUGGUCGAGUCGGCCUGCGCGGAAGAUGUAACGGGGCUAAACCAUGCACCGAAGCUGCGGCAGCGACACUAUGUGUUGUUGGGUAGGGGAGCGUUCUGUAAGCCUGUGAAGGUGUGCUGUGAGGCAUGCUGGAGGUAUCAGAAGUGCGAAUGCUGACAUAAGUAACGAUAAAGCGGGUGAAAAGCCCGCUCGCCGGAAGACCAAGGGUUCCUGUCCAACGUUAAUCGGGGCAGGGUGAGUCGACCCCUAAGGCGAGGCCGAAAGGCGUAGUCGAUGGGAAACAGGUUAAUAUUCCUGUACUUGGUGUUACUGCGAAGGGGGGACGGAGAAGGCUAUGUUGGCCGGGCGACGGUUGUCCCGGUUUAAGCGUGUAGGCUGGUUUUCCAGGCAAAUCCGGAAAAUCAAGGCUGAGGCGUGAUGACGAGGCACUACGGUGCUGAAGCAACAAAUGCCCUGCUUCCAGGAAAAGCCUCUAAGCAUCAGGUAACAUCAAAUCGUACCCCAAACCGACACAGGUGGUCAGGUAGAGAAUACCAAGGCGCUUGAGAGAACUCGGGUGAAGGAACUAGGCAAAAUGGUGCCGUAACUUCGGGAGAAGGCACGCUGAUAUGUAGGUGAAGUCCCUCGCGGAUGGAGCUGAAAUCAGUCGAAGAUACCAGCUGGCUGCAACUGUUUAUUAAAAACACAGCACUGUGCAAACACGAAAGUGGACGUAUACGGUGUGACGCCUGCCCGGUGCCGGAAGGUUAAUUGAUGGGGUUAGCCGCAAGGCGAAGCUCUUGAUCGAAGCCCCGGUAAACGGCGGCCGUAACUAUAACGGUCCUAAGGUAGCGAAAUUCCUUGUCGGGUAAGUUCCGACCUGCACGAAUGGCGUAAUGAUGGCCAGGCUGUCUCCACCCGAGACUCAGUGAAAUUGAACUCGCUGUGAAGAUGCAGUGUACCCGCGGCAAGACGGAAAGACCCCGUGAACCUUUACUAUAGCUUGACACUGAACAUUGAGCCUUGAUGUGUAGGAUAGGUGGGAGGCUU
rnacentral:rRNA from 1 species